rnacentral:pre_miRNA from 1 species
AGCUUUCUGUAUUCGUGCUCAGAUUUCGUCAAUGAUCAAAUCGUCGGCGCUGGCUGAUGCAACUUCCAAAAUAAGUGAGGUG